ensembl:snoRNA
UGCACUUGUGUUUGUGUUUGUUUAAUUAGCGGACACCCAAAGACAGGUGCAAGAAUAAAUCCUCUUUUGUAACCCAAAACUCAUGGUCCAGUAUGAGUUUUGAUACAGAUGAGAAGGGACAUG